rnacentral:lncRNA from 1 species
CAUCUUCAGGAUUAGUUAACAUUAUAGGCAGCCUUUUAGUUGGAACUUCUUUUUUCUUGAAGGUAGUAAUUUACUUAUCAUCCAUUAUGAAUUCUUGUAUUGUUGUCAAUACUUUGCUCAAUGGACUGAGAGGCCUCCAUUAUUAACAAUUACUGGUUUCUUUUCUUGGUUCUUCCAAUAUGAUGAAGAGGAUAUGGACGCAUAUGUGGAAGAUUUGGAUAUGGAGGUCAAUUUGACAAUAACCUUUUCAUAUAAUUACUUAGAGGGGUCAGUAUAGGUACUACUCUUUACAUGCAGUUUACUUGCUUUAUUUUUGUGGUUAAGAAUAUUUAGGAUGAGGACUCAGAUGAACGAUAUCAAUCACCAAUGUAUUUAAGGUGGCUCAAGAGCUUUGGUUAUCUUGCUAGGUAGUCCCAUUAAAUACCUUCGCAAUUGAGUAAUUACACCAGAGUUGAAUUUAACUGUAUCUUCUUCCAUAAAGAUUCUGAUAGUGAUAAGACCUUCCAAUACAACCAAACAUCCGUGAAUUACCUUAGUUGUAGUUCUAUUUAUAGCAACACACUUUCGCCAAAUAUGGAAGCACACGGAUCACAAAUGCUUAUUCAUGUUUUCUCACAGUAUACCUUUCAUUGAUUCCAAUUAUGCUACUGUUAUAAGAACACCUAGGCUUUUAAGUAAAAAAAAAAAAUCCAAAAAAUAAUCGAACUAAGUUUCCAAUUUAUUUACUUGUGUAUAACUAUAAGUACUCAUUUUUUUUUUUGUAACUUCAUACUCAUGCAGCGUAGAUCAAGAAUAUUAGAAACUUCGUGUUUCGAUGCUCAUUUAACCUUCUGUCCUUUAAGUUAUCCCCAUCUCUCUUCUAUAUCUUUGAUUGAUUGAUUAUUUGUAAUUUUAGCUUGAUUUGUUUUUCUCAACUGCAGAAUUUGGAAUUUAUUCACACCAGAAUUUCAAUUAUAGGAACCAGUUCUCAAUUACAAAGCCUUCUUUUAUUUUACUUCGUCUGUGAAGACAAGACAUCAAAAGACACAAGCUAGGUGAGAUUGAUAAUUUGAUAUUGAAUUUUAUUUUCUCUAAAUUUUUGAUUCUUUAUGUCUUCUAUACCUUAAUUCUUACUCCAAUAAAAAAAACCUCACUUUCCCUAUCUCUUUCUCACAAGUCUCACAUUUACCAUCUCAAGCUGAUUAAUUACCUCAUGUUCUUGUUCAAGUAAGGCUUAUAUUGUCUGAACCGGCCAAAGCUAUAUAGAUUUUGAUAUGUUCCAUACUUGAAAAUGAAAAAGGUGGAAAACAGGGCUCGUUAGAUCAGCUAUGACAACCUGAACUCAUUGUUGGUGUCUUGAAAAUUAUGAAAGCAAUAUAGCAGUGUUUUGUAUAUUGUUCAGCCAUAUCCAUGUCAUAAUUAACACAACUUAGAUUAAGAUUUCCGGUUACGUUUUUAUGACAUAUCCAUAAUCUGCUUAAAAAUUUAACAUAGUUGCUUUGUACUUCUUUGUGUUAAAUAUUUAUUAACUUUUGCAUAUGAUAUAUUUGCAGAGAUUUAGCAAAUUUAUUGCAAAGGAAAAGCAAAACAAGGAUUAUUAGGGUUCUUGGAGGUGAUAGAUGUAUAAGGUUCGUUCUACAAGGAUUCUAAAUGUCUUAUUUCUAUCAACUCUGGUUAAUUUGUAUCUUCUGCCAUGUCUUACUUCUUACUGCACAUUUAAUCAGGUUUAGUUAGUAUAUGAAGACCACAUAUUUGUACGUGAUGUCUGAACAUACCUAUAAAUUUUGUGUAUGAGUCUUUUGGCUUGAUAAUGGAUGUUGGGUUGUUGGAAUUGACUUAUAAACCAAAAUGGCAACACAGGUUCAUUUUGAUAUUUAUUUUUUUCGUUAAAUUGAUUGGUCUUUGAAGUACGUGAUGUCUCUUAAAACUCCAAUAACUGAUAACAUACCUAUAAAUUUUGUGGUUUUUGUUUGUAUGGGUUUAUUUGAAUAUUCGUUUCAUGGCUUCUUCGAUGCUUAACUGGGAUAUAUAUUACUAAUAGGUCCUUAAGCUGCUGGGACAUUGGACGGAGGGUAUUAGGAACGAUGCGUUUGAAAAUUAAAACUGUGGAUCUCAAUGAUCAAAAUUAAAUAUGAUAGUGAUGGAUGUUGGUGGUGGCACUGGGUUUACAGUUUACUAAUUUUGGGUAUAGUUAAGCUAAGCAUGUUAAUGCCAACAAUGUUACAAUUCUUGACAAGUGACAUAAUAUGCUCGCCAAGGCAACAUGUGAAGAUUAACAAGAUAAUUGGAGCUGAUGUUGAGUUCCUCCCGUUCCCAAUUGAUUAGGCAGAUAGAGAUGUGUCAGAUAGAAGCUAAAUGUCAACUAUUCUUGUUUUAGAAACAUUGGGUUUUAUUUAGUCAAUGACAAAACUAUUACACUAAAAUUAGUCAUAUAUUACGAUUUUAUUGUGUAUUCUAGCUUACGUAUUAUUUUCUUUUUCUCAGCAUUAACUACUGGCCAGAUCCGCAAAAUGGAAUCAAGGAAGUAUAGG